UACGUAGGGUGCAAGCGUUAAUCGGAAUUACUGGGCGUAAAGCGUGCGCAGGCGGUUGUGCAAGUCCGAUGGGAAAUCCCCGGGCUUAACCUGGGAAUGGCAUUGGUGACUGCACGGCUAGAGUGUGUCAGAGGGGGGUAGAAUUCCACGUGUAGCAGUGAAAUGCGUAGAGAUGUGGAGGAAUACCGAUGGCGAAGGCAGCCCCCUGGGAUAACACUGACGCUCAUGCACGAAAGCGUGGGGAGCAAACAGG
rnacentral:rRNA from 1 species